UUUAAAUAGCUGCAGUAAUUUAACUGUACAAAGGUAGCAUAAUAAUUAGUCUUUUAAUUGAGGUCUAGAAUGAAUGGUUUAACAAGAGAAAAACUUUAUUAAUUUAAUUAAAUUUUAAUUUAAUUUUUUAGUUAAAAAGCUAAAAUUUUUAAGUGGGACGAUAAGACCCUAUAGAUCUUUAAUUUUUAAAAUUAUUUUUUAUUUGGGUAAUUAUUAAUUAUAAUGUGAAAAAAAAUUUUGGUUGGGGUGACAUUAAAAUUUUUAAAACUUUUAAUUAUUUUAUCAUAAAUUAAAUGAAUAUUUGAUCUAAAAUUUUUGAUUAAAAGAUUAAGAUACCUUAGGGAUAACAGCGUAAUAAAUUUGGAUAGUUCAUAUUAAUAAAUUUUGUUUACGACCUCGAUGUUGAAUUAAUUUAAAAUUUUGAAGCAGAAAUUAAAUUUUUUAGGUCUGUUCGACCUUUAAUUAAUUACA
rnacentral:rRNA from 1 species